rnacentral:rRNA from 1 species
CACGCCGUAAACGAUGAUCACUAACAGUAUGGAGAUUCGACCCUCUGUGUUGUAAAGCUAACGCGUUAAGUGAUCCGCCUGGGGAGUACGGGCGCAAGCUUAAAACUCAAAGGAAUUGACGGGGACCCGCACAAGCAGUGGAGGAUGUGGUUUAAUUCGACGCUAAGCGAAGAACCUUACCGAGGUUUGACAUCCCAGGAAAUCUAUGGAAACUAAGAUGUGCCUUCGGGAACCUGGUGACAGGUGC